rnacentral:lncRNA from 1 species
GCUGUCUGUGAGCAGAUUUCAAGUACCUAGAAAAGGAAGUUUUCCUACGCAAAGAGCAGCUGGCUAUGCUCUCAAAGGAUGUUCAAGAUGUUGUGUUCUCCAAUCUCCUGCCCAUGCUCAGUGACAGUGAUGUUCUGUUUGACCUGAUAAACAUGCUGGAGUUGGAUCAGUUGGGGCACAUGGAUGGCCCAGCUGGCUUAAUCCUAGAUGAGCUGAGAAAGAACUCAAGCACCCCAUGGAUUGACCUAAAGGGACUCAUUCUUUAUCUCCUUCAAGCCCUAAUGGGUAAGAAUGAUUUGAGGGGAGUGUGGGGAGAGUCCUCAUGUUGGUCCUCAGAGGGCUGCCAUCUCCCCAAAGCCUUUGAACUUUCGUGACCAUUCUCAAAUCACCCUUCUCUCUAAAGCCAGCAACGCUCAGAGUGAUAACAGCGAAUGGACCACAGAUAGAGUCUGAGGUCUAGAAAGUGAGCAGUCGCCAAUCGCCUAACACAUCCUUGGUGGAAGGUGGUUCCUGCCUCAGCCCUUAGACUUUCAGGCUCUGGGUCAUGUCACUUACGGGCCUAGAGCUCAUCUCCAGGGUAGGAGACCUUUCUUGAGUAGUGCGUUUGACCUUCAAGUCUAAUGGGACAUAUUGCUGUGUCUGAGUUUUCCUCUCAUUGGAUUUCCUAGUUCAUGGUAAGAAGAAAAUCCGUUUUCUUCAUGUUUCCUUCCCCCCAGUGCUGAGUGAUACCCAACUCGAUCUGCUG